rnacentral:lncRNA from 1 species
GGUUUUUGAGUUAUAAGCCAAAAACUGCAUUUUACCCCUAUGUUCUAUUUUUAGCCAUGGCGGCCAUCUUGGUUGGUUGGCCGGGUCACCGGACACAUUUUUUAAACUGGAUACCCCAAUGAUGAUUGUGGACAAGUUUGGUUUAAUUUGGCCCAGCAGUUUCAGAGAAGAAGAUUUUUGUAAAAGUUAACAACAACGACGACGGACGACGGACGACGACGGACGACGGACGCCGGACGCAAAGUGAUGGGAAAAGCUCACUUGGCCCUUCGGGCCAGGUGAGCUAAAAAGCUACA